rnacentral:rRNA from 1 species
GAUGAACGCUGGCGGCGUGCCUAAUACAUGCAAGUCGAGCGAACAGACGAGGAGCUUGCUCCUCUGACGUUAGCGGCGGACGGGUGAGUAACACGUGGAUAACCUACCUAUAAGACUGGGAUAACUUCGGGAAACCGGAGCUAAUACCGGAUAAUAUAUUGAACCGCAUGGUUCAAUAGUGAAAGACGGUUUUGCUGUCACUUAUAGAUGGAUCCGCGCCGCAUUAGCUAGUUGGUAAGGUAACGGCUUACCAAGGCAACGAUGCGUAGCCGACCUGAGAGGGUGAACGGCCACACUGGAACUGAGAAACGGUCCAGACUCCUAAGGGGAGCAGCAGUAGGGAAUCUUCCGCAAUGGGCGAAAGCCUGACGGAGCAACGCCGCGUGAGUGAUGAAGGUCUUCGGAUCGUAAAACUCUGUUAUUAGGGAAGAACAAAUGUGUAAGUAACUAUGCACGUCUUGACGGUACCUAAUCAGAAAGCCACGGCUAACUACGUG